AUUGAACGCUGGCGGCAGGCCUAACACAUGCAAGUCGAGCGGAGCGGCGGACGGGUGAGUAAGGGCUAGGAAUCUGCCUGGUAGUGGGGGAGAAGGAUAGGAAAUGGGCGCUAAUACUGCAUACUAGCAGUUGAGCAUAGGUGGGAAUAGCUAGUUGGUGGGGUAAAGGCCUACCAAGGCGACGAUCCCUAACUGGUCUGAGAGGAUGAUCAGUCACACUGGAACUGAGACACGGCCCAGACUCCUACGGGAGGCAGCAGUGGGGAAUAUUGGACAAUGGGCGAAAGCCUGAUGCAGCCAUGCCGCGUGUGUGAAGAAGGUCUUCGGAUUGUAAAGCACUUUAAGUUGGGAGGCGUUACCCACAGAAUAAGCACCGGCUAACUUCGUGCCAGCAGCCGCGGUAAUUC
rnacentral:rRNA from 1 species